rnacentral:rRNA from 1 species
GUAGUUUGACUCCGUGGCUACAGAACGAACGCUGGCGGCAGGCUUAACACAUGCAAGUCGAACGACCCCGCAAGGGGAGUGGCAGACGGGUGAGUAACGCGUGGGAAUCUACCUGGAACUACGGAACAACUGAGGGAAACUUCAGCUAAUACCGUAUACGACCCUACCGGGGGAAAGAGUUUAUCGGUUUCAGAUGAGCCCGCGUAAGAUUAGCUAGUUGGUGGGGUAAUGGCCUACCAAGGCGACGAUCUUUAGCUGGUCUGAGAGGAUGAUCAGCCACACUGGGACUGAGACACGGCCCAGACUCCUACGGGAGGCAGCAGUGGGGAAUAUGGACAAUGGGCGCAAGCCUGAUCCAGCCAUGCCGCGUGAGUGAUGAAGGCCUUAGGGUUGUAAAGCUCUUUCAGUGGGGACGAUAAUGACGGUACCCACAGAAGAAGCCCCGGCUAACUUCGUG